rnacentral:rRNA from 1 species
UACGUAGGGGGCAAGCGUUGUCCGGAAUCAUUGGGCGUAAAGCGCGUGUAGGCGGCUCGAUAAGUCUGCUGUGAAAGUCCAGGCUCAACCCUGGGAUGCCGGUGGAUACUGUCGAGCUCGAGUCCGGAAGAGGCGAGUGGAAUUCCUGGUGUAGCGGUGAAAUGCGCAGAUAUCAGGAGGAACACCAUGGCGAAGGCAGCUCGCUGGGACGUGACUGACGCUGAGACGCGAAAGCGUGGGGAGCGAACAGGAUUAG